rnacentral:lncRNA from 1 species
UCAACCCUGAUUAGAUCAUCCGAGUCGUGCUCAACUCAAACAGUCCUGUGACUCCUCACUAGGACUACCUUGGCCAAGGUUUUGCUAAAUUGAAAUACGACUGUACACAGCUCCUGAACUAGAGUGGUCAAUCCCAUCUUGACACACGCACCGACAAGUCAAGUACUUGACUACACCCAGCAACCUUCCGUCACUGAAUUAGAAAUUCAGGUAGUCCAGUG